GACGAACGCUGGCGGCGUGCUUAACACAUGCAAGUCGAGCGGUAAGGCCCUUUCGGGGGUACACGAGCGGCGAACGGGUGAGUACCACGUGGGUGACCUGCCCUCAGCUCUGGGAUAAGCCUGGGAAACCGGGUCUAAUACUGGAUAUGACUCCAUGACGCAUGUUGUGGGGUGGAAAGCCUUGUGCGGCUGAGGAUGGGCCCGCGGCCUAUCAGCUUGUUGGUGGGGUGANGGCCUACCAAGGCGACGACGGGUAGCCGGCCUGAGAGGGCGACCGGCCACACUGGGACUGAGACACGGCCCAGACUCCUACGGGAGGCAGCAGUGGGGAAUCUUGCGCAAUGGGCGAAAGCCUGACGCAGCGACGCCGCGUGAGGGAUGACGGCCUCGG
rnacentral:rRNA from 1 species